UGUGCUCGUCUCCGCUCCAGCAACGCCGCCGACCCUAGCCUCCUCCUGGCGGCGGCCGUCUGACCCGGCCGGCGAUGGAGAUGGAGGCGGCCGGCCGAUGCUCGAGGAAGAGGAAGUCCGCUGAGCUGGGCUCGCCCGAGGUGGGGGCGGCUUCAGAAGGGCGCGGUCCGGGACCUACGGCGGGGGACCAGGUGCCGCCGCCGCCGCCGCCGCUGCCCGGAGCCGAAGGAGGCGGCAGCGACCGAAUCAGCGACCUCCCCGACGCCGUCCUCGGGGAAAUCAUCUCCCUCCUCCCCACCAAGGAAGGCGCGCGCACCCAGGUCCUCGCCUCCCGGUGGCGCCGCCUCUGGCGCUCCGCCCCCCUCAACCUCGACUGCCGUCCGUACCUAUUCGACAAGGAUGCCCGCGACGCCAUCAUAUCGCGCAUCCUCGCCAUCCACCAGGGCCCCGGCCGCCGCUUCUGCGCGCCCGUGUACCAUCUCCACGGCCACCGAGCCGAAGCCUGGCUCCGGUCUCCCGCCCUCGACAACCUCCACGAGCUUGAGCUGUGCAGCUACCACCCUCGCUUUCCGUUUCCACCGGAAACGCAGCAUCCACCGCCGGCGGCCGCCUUCCGCUUCUCUGACACGCUCCGUGUUGCCACCAUCGGAGAAUGCCACCUUACCGACAGCACCGUCCAAGCGCUUCUCUUCCCCAAGCUUCAGAAGCUCGCGCUGAAACGGGUUCCUGCAUAUAUCGGUAAUCUCUGCGCCUAAAUUGGAGACAUUAGGCUGCCUUUCCUUUUGUUCCAGUUCCAGACUCGUGUUUAACUCCACAGUUUUUCAGGGAUUCAAAGUUGAUAGCUUUACAACAGCGGUGCACACUGUCAAGAUCUUAGCGGUUGAUAUGAAUGCUCUCAGUCUGGAUCUUGUUAUUGACUUGAUGAGAUGCUUUCCAUGCUUGGAAAAGCUGUACAUUCAG